CCCAGUUCUACCACUUCCUGACUGUAUGACUUUGUAUAACUCCUUUAGCCUCUUUGAGCGUCAGCUUCUCCAUUUAUAAACCUGUUUUAGUUACUUUCCUGUCUCAGUGUGUUUGUUCUUAUAGUUAUUUCUACUUGGAACACUCCCUCUAGAUAUUUAUAGCUAGAACCUGUUUUUAGUGCCCUUGCCUGUUUCAUUCUCCCAGCCUAAGUUUCCGUAUCUGUCUGAAGAAGGGGUGGUUUGGUGUUGAUCUCCGAGACCCGUGUGUCUCUUCCCAUGUGGAAUUAUUGUCACUCUCUUAUUGCUUGUUUUUCUUUGUCCUGGAAAAUUUGCCUUUAGAGGUUACAGACUGGUUAGUGUUAUCUCU
rnacentral:lncRNA from 1 species